rnacentral:rRNA from 1 species
AACGAACGCUGGCGGCAUGCCUAACACAUGCAAGUCGAACGAGACCUUCGGGUCUAGUGGCGAACGGGUGCGUAACGCGUGGGAACCUGCCCUUAGGUUCGGAAUAACUCCCCGAAAGGGGUGCUAAUACCGGAUAAUGUCUUCGGACCAAAGAUUUAUCGCCUUUGGAUGGGCCCGCGUUGGAUUAGCUAGUUGGUAGGGUAAAAGCCUACCAAGGCGACGAUCCAUAGCUGGUCUGAGAGGAUGAUCAGCCACACUGGGACUGAGACACGGCCCAGACUCCUACGGGAGGCAGCAGUGGGGAAUAUUGGACAAUGGGCGAAAGCCUGAUCCAGCAAUGCCGCGUGAGUGAUGAAGGCCUUAGGGUUGUAAAGCUCUUUUAACCGGGAUGAUAAUGACAGUACCGGGAGAAUAAGCUCCGGCUAACUCCGUG